rnacentral:lncRNA from 1 species
UUUACAUGAAAAGGUUAAUCCACCAGUUCUAUAAUUUAGUUCUUCAAAAAGUACUUAAAUAAACUGGUGGCAUAUCGCAAGUCUAUAAUUUGUAUAUGAUCUGUCUUUUAUUGUUUUAUGGUGAAUCAUUGAUCUGUCUUUGUAUAAAUUGGUGGCAUAUCGCAAGUCUAUAAUUUGGCGGCAACCCGUUUUGAUGGUAGUGUAGCAUUAAAUACUGAUGUAAUUGAGAGAAAAGGAUGACCUGGAGGUCGCAAACUUGAAGGAUUAUUCAACAACGGUGCUAAAGAAAGAAAACAAUGUAGCGACUUCACCAACGACAAUUGCCACCUUAACUGAUACUACACUUGCAGUGACUCCCGGUAUCAGCAGUGAAGACGCCACAUCAGAAGAUGAAAGUAAUUUUUACAGCUAUGAUUCAAAUUACAUGUAUGUUAACACAUACGAUCCUAGGAUGUUAACAUUUAGUAAAAUAGCUUUGCUUUUUUGCAGGCCAGUCGCAAACAAGCAAUGUCAGUUUAUGGUGAUGGAAAACAAGCAUGAAGUUUUCAAUACGUCUUUGACUUGGUAAUUUUAUGGAGCUAUACAUACUGAUGGUUGUUUGGGGGGAGUUAACGGGCUCUCAUAUUCAUUGUUUUUCAUGGAGCUUAUCUGGAGCAUGUCUUACUGGGAUGAAGUUGAAAAUUUAAAUAGCAUUAGGAAGAACAAGGAUUCUUAUUUCCCUUAUCAAGGUAUACACUUGACAUUAUUGAAUUGAUUGUUCGAUAUGGAUGGAUGUGUUAGGCUUAUUCCUGUUGUUCAAAAUGGCUUAUC